GUGUCCACCCAGCAGUCCAGGGCCUCUCCACCCCAAGCCCAGUCUGGGCCCCCGGAUCUCUCUCCUGGCCUUUCUCCUGCCGCCCCUGAUGCCCAGUGAGUCCUACACUCCAGAACCAUCCUUACCUGUCUGCCCCCCUGCAGUAGGGAAGGGAGAUAUUUGUACCUCUGCGGGCACAGCAGCCAGGAGGCCACUCAAGGGUCCACUGAUGGCUGAACAUGUGAACAAAGUGUCCACCAUGAUCCAGCCCGAGAAAGGAAGGGCACCCCGCCCCUUGCCACAGCAGGGAAGAACCCCGAGGUCGUCAGGCUGACUGCCGCGAGCCACACGCAGAGCAAGGAGCGCCGUGGGGCCCCUCUUCCGCAAGCACCUCGCUGUGGCUCAGUCGCUAAGUGGUGCCUGGCCCUCUGUGACCCCACAGCCUGCAGCACACAGGCUGCCCUGCCCUCCACCACUUCCCGGAGUUUGCGCAGAUUCUUCACCGCUGUGCUGUCUGAAAAGCAUCCACAGUGAUCAAACUCACACAAGCGGAAUGUAGAUGCGGGUCCCCGCGGCUGGGGUGGGGGUCUCGUGUGAUGAGGAGAAAGGCUCUGUUUGGGAAGGCGAAGUGUCCUGGAGACGACGGUGUGAACGUGCUGAGAGCCGCAGAACUGUGCACUCAGGCUAAAAUGAAUCCAGGUUCCGAGUGCGUGUGUUAUUUAUGCGCAUGGAUUGUUGCUGCGUUAAUGAUAUUUUACUGUGCAUCUCAUUUUUGCCACUAAACAUUCUGCUUUCUUUUUUAAUCUUUUGGCCGCGCUGCAUGGCACGUGGGAUCUUAGUUCCCCAACCAGAGAACUGAACACAUGCCCCCCCGCACUGUAACCACUGGAAAUGCAGUCUUAUUAAGAGGGAAUCCUGGCAAAC
rnacentral:lncRNA from 1 species